AUUGAACGCUGGCGGCAUGCCUUACACAUGCAAGUCGAACGGCAGCACGGGUGCUUGCACCUGGUGGCGAGUGGCGAACGGGUGAGUAAUACAUCGGAACAUGUCCUGUAGUGGGGGAUAGCCCGGCGAAAGCCGGAUUAAUACCGCAUACGAUCCACGGAUGAAAGCGGGGGACCUUCGGGCCUCGCGCUAUAGGGUUGGCCGAUGGCUGAUUAGUUAGUUGGUGGGGUAAAGGCCUACCAAGGCGACGAUCAGUAGCUGGUCUGAGAGGACGACCAGCCACACUGGGACUGAGACACGGCCCAGACUCCUACGGGAGGCAGCAGUGGGGAAUUUUGGACAAUGGGCGAAAGCCUGAUCCAGCAAUGCCGCGUGUGUGAAGAAGGCCUUCGGGUUGUAAAGCACUUUUGUCCGGAAAGAAAUCCUUGACUCUAAUACAGUCGGGGGAUGACGGUACCGGAAGAAUAAGCACCGGCUAACUACGUG
rnacentral:rRNA from 1 species